rnacentral:rRNA from 1 species
UACGGGGGGGAGCAAGCGUUGUUCGGAUUUACUGGGCGUAAAGGGCGCGUAGGCGGUCAGCACAAGUCAGUUGUGAAAUCUCCGGGCUUAACUCGGAAAGGUCAACUGAUACUGUGCGACUAGAGUGCGGAAGGGGCAACUGGAAUUCUCGGUGUAGCGGUGAAAUGCGUAGAUAUCGAGAGGAACACCUGCGGCGAAGGCGGGUAGCUGGGCCGACACUGACGCUGAUGCGCGAAAGCGUGGGGAGCAAACAGG